rnacentral:lncRNA from 1 species
UUUCCAGAAAACAAGCGUUACGGCCUAUAGCAAGAGUUCAAAUACAUUCUCCAAUGCAAGAAUUACAUAAAGAUUCCCUCAACAUCUACAUUCUCCAUUAAUUUUCAUUGUGUUUUCCACCUUUUCACUAACCCUUGAGAUGAGACCAAGGACAAAGUGAAUCACGAUACUUUAUUAUCAACCUAAUAUGCAUUUAAGGACAAGAAGAAUGUUCAUAUACAUAAUCUGCACCAAGAAACCAUUAUUCCAUUACAAGUAGCAAUAAAACUAUGAAUAAGGUAUGAAUUAUUUGUUGUGGUAUCCCGAGUUUGCAUCCAGGUGAUUGCUAUGUCUCCAGCAAGUUGUUCACCAACAAGAACAUCUUAUCAGUUCCCAAGCCUAGAAACAUUAAUACAUUAUUGAAUUCUAUAUAGUAGAGAUAUUCUCUACGUUUGGUUUACCAUUUGUUGUGCUGGUGCUGGAGCAUCCGUCCAACAAUUGCAAUGGCAGCACAUAUGUGCAAAAUAAAUAUUAAGAGCAUUUAAGAUUUUACCUUAACUGAUUUAGCAUUUAUUUGGUACAAAAUCAAAGAUUAAUUAGGAGCCAUAAAUACAGGAGUUAUUUUAGGAUACNNN